rnacentral:rRNA from 1 species
UAUAACUAAGCGGAGGAAAAGAAACUAACCAGGAUUCCCCCAGUAACGGCGAGUGAAGCGGGAAGAGCUCACGUUUGGAAUCUGGCCCCUCCAGGGGCYGGAAUUGUAGCCUGGAGAGGCGAGGCCAGCUUGGAGGGCUGCGGCGAAGUCCGAUUUGAAAAGGGUAUCAAGGAGGGUGGCAGUCCCGUUCAUGCCGCAGACCGCCUAGCUAGGGGUCCGCUUUCUACGAGUCGAGUUGCUUGGGAUUGCAGCUCAAAUUGGGUGGUAAACUCCAUCCAAAGCUAAAYACGGAUGGGAGACCGAYAGCGAACAAGUACCGUGAGGGAAAGAUGCAAAGAACUUUGAAAAGAGAGUCAAAGAGUGCCUGAAAUUGCUGAGAGGGAAGCGAAGGAAAGUAGUGCCGUACGGCGGGAUCUAGUCGUUUGCACGUGCCUUURGUGCGUCUCUCGUUUACCCCCGCGAUGUCAGGGCCGGGUAGGCAGCGGUGCCGUUGGUGCAGGUAGGCCGAGGUUACAGCCGGCCGGURUUUUGCUCCACACACGUGGCCGCAGCCGUUGGCCGUCCCUGACAAAAUGCUUUUCUUUACCCCGUCUUGAAACACGGACCAAGGAGUCUAACAUGCCCGCGAGUACAGGGGUGGCCRAAACCCCCGUGCGCAGUGAAAGUGAACGCAGGUGGGAAAGUAGUGUAUACUUGCACCAUCGACCGACCACGUUUCCCUCGGGAACGAGGUUUGAGUGUGAGCGUGUAUGUUGGGACCCGAAAGAUGGUGAACUAUGCCUGAGUAGGGCGAAGCCAGGGGAAACUCUGGUGGAGGCUCGUAGCGAUUCUGACGUGCAAAUCGAUCGUGAGAUUUGGGUAUAGGGGCGAAAGACUAAUCGAACCAUCUAGUAGCUGGUUCCCUCCGAAAUUUCCCUCAGGAUAGCUGCAACAUUUCAUCAGUUUUAUCAGGUAAAGCGAAUGAUUAGAGGCUGCGGGGGAGUAACUCCCUCGCCCUAUUCUCAAACUUUAAAUGGGUAAGGUAUCGUCGUCGCUUCGGUGGACGUUCCCAAGAUGAUAACAUUAAGAGAAUGAUAAGGUUGCUAGUGGGCCGGUCCGGGUAAGCUGGACUGGCGAUGCGGGAUGAACCGAACGCCUAGUUAAAGCGCCUCACUGCCCGCUCACCUAGAUCCCACAAAAGGUGUUGGUUCAUUUUGACAGCAGGACGGUGGCCAUGGA